CUAGGAGAGUGGCGACCGGCGCACGGGUGAGUAACACGUAUCCAACCUGCCGAUAACUCGGGGAUAGCCUUUCGAAAGAAAGAUUAAUACCCGAUGGCAUAAUAGAACCGCAUGGUUUGAUUAUUAAAGAAUUUCGGUUAUCGAUGGGGAUGCGUUCCAUUAGGCAGUUGGUGGGGUAACGGCCCACCAAACCUUCGAUGGAUAGGGGUUCUGAGAGGAAGGUCCCCCACAUUGGAACUGAGACACGGUCCAA
rnacentral:rRNA from 1 species